rnacentral:tRNA from 1 species
ACGGGUAUAUAUCAAAGGUAGAUUAUCUGCCUUCCAAGCAGAAGAUGUGGGUUCGAUUCCCACUAUCCGUA